rnacentral:rRNA from 1 species
UACGUAGGGUGCAAGCGUUGUUCGGAAUCAUUGGGCGUAAAGCGCGUGUAGGCGGUUUUUUACGUCGGAGGUGAAAUCCCUUGGCUCAACCAAGGAAGUGCCUCCGAAACGGAAAGGCUCGAGAGUGACAGAGGAAGGUGGAAUUCCCGGUGUAGAGGUGAAAUUCGUAGAGAUCGGGAGGAAUACCAGUUGCGAAGGCGGCCUUCUGGGUCACAUCUGACGCUGAGACGCGAAAGCGUGGGGAGCAAACAGG